rnacentral:rRNA from 1 species
UAACGAAUCUUCCGCAAUGGGCGCAAGCCUGACGGAGCAAUGCCGCGUGUGGGAUGAAGCGUCUCUGACGUGUAAACCACUGUCAGGGGUUAGAAACAAUGAUCAACCCCAAAGGAAGUGGCGACUAACUCUGUGCCAGCAGUCGCGGUAAUACAGAGGCCACAAGCGUUAGUCGGAAUCACUGGGCUUAAAGGGUGCGUAGGCUGGUCCGCAAGCGUCUUGUGAAAGCCCUCGGCUCAACCGAGGAACAGCAGGGCGAACUGCGGAUCUUGAGGCAGGUAGGGGUCGCGAGAACAGUAGGUGGAGCGGUGAAAUGCGUAGAUAUCUACUGGAAUGCCGAUGGUGAAGACGCGCGACUGGGCCUGUCCUGACGCUGAGGCACGAAAGCCAGGGGAGCAAACGGGAUUAGAUACCCCUGUAGUCCCUGAGCGGGCUGGCAAGGCGCAU